GCUUAAUUCGACGCAACGCGAAGAACCUUACCAAGGCUUGACAUAUACAGGAAUAUGGCAGAAAUGUCAUACCCGCAAGGUCUGUAUACAGGUGGUGCAUGGUUGUCGUCAGCUCGUGUCGUGAGAUGUUGGGUUAAGUCCCGCAACGAGCGCAACCCUCGUUCUGUGUUGCCAGCAUUUAGUUGGGGACUCACAGGAGACUGCCGGGUUAACUCGGAGGAAGGUGGGGAUGACGUCAAAUCAUCAUGCCCCUUAUGUCUUGGGCUGCACGCAUGCUACAAUGGCUGGUACAAACGGCUGCGAUACCGCAAGGUGGAGCGAAUCCGAUAAAGCCAGUCUCAGUUCGGAUUGGGGUCUGCAACUCGACCCCAUGAAGUCGGAGUUGCUAGUAAUCGUAGAUCAGCAACGCUACGGGUGAAUACGUUCCCGGGGCUUGUACACACCGCCCGUCACGUCACGAAAGUCGGUAACACCCGAAGUCAGUGCCCAACCGUAAGGGGG
rnacentral:rRNA from 1 species